rnacentral:tRNA from 1 species
GUGUGCAUGGCUCAGUGGUUAGAGCAUCCCUCUGGAUUGAGGCCAUCAUGGGUUCGAAUCCCAUUGCACACG